CAGCAGCCGCGGGAAUACGAAGGGGGCUAGCGUUGUUCGGAAUUACUGGGCGUAAAGCGCACGUAGGCGGAUAUUUAAGUCAGGGGUGAAAUCCCGCAGCUCAACUGCGGAACUGCCUUUGAUACUGGGUAUCUUGAGUAUGGAAGAGGUUAGUGGAAUUGCGAGUGUAGAGGUGAAAUUCGUAGAUAUUCGCAGGAACACCAGUGGCGAAGGCGGCUAACUGGUCCAUAACUGACGCUGAGGUGCGAAAGCGUGGGGAGCAAACAGGAUUAGAUACCCGCGUAGUCCCUGUCUCUUAUAC
rnacentral:rRNA from 1 species